rnacentral:snoRNA from 1 species
AUGGAGGUGAUGAUUAUUUCCCCAAAUGAACGAAGCUGAAUAUACUGUGCUGUUCUAAUUCUCUAUUUUCAAUUGAGAAUCCAAGCCAGAUUUCUGAUCCAU